GCGGGCGUGGCGGAACUGGCAGACGCAGCGGGUUUAGGACCCGCCGGGCUUCGGCCUUUGGAGGUUCGAGUCCUCUCGCCCGCA
rnacentral:tRNA from 1 species